rfam:Ictidomys tridecemlineatus contig054103, whole genome shotgun sequence.
UGGGAUGUUGCUCAGUGGUAGAGCACUUGCCUAGCAUGAGUCAAGCCCUGGGUUCAAUCCCCAGCACUGUAA